CAUCAAUAUAAAAACAGGAGACCAAAAUAGUGUUUAAACCACUUAAAUUAAAGGACCACUAUAGUGCCAGGAAAACAAACUUGUUUUCCUGGCACUAUAGUAUAAUAGCCCCCACACCCUCAUGGCCUCCCUCCCGCCUGGCUGAAGGGAGAGGAAGGGGUUAAAUCACUUACCUUUCUCCAACGCCGUGCUCCCUCGGCGCUGGGGACUCUCCUCCUCCUUCGGACGUCAUUGGCCACACGCGCAUUCAGUCAGUCCAUAGGAAAGCAUUCUCAAUGCUUUCCUCUGGACGUUGGCGUUUUCUCUCUGUGAAACUCACAGUGAGAAGCGCGGAAGUACCUCUAGUGGCUGUCAAUGAGACAGCCACUAGUUGCUGGAUUAACCCAUAUGCAAACAUAGCAGUUUCUCUGAACUGCUAUGUUUACAACAGGCACAAUUAACCCUAGAUGGACCUGGCACACAGACCACUUCAUUAAGCUGAAGUGGUCUGGGUGCCUAUAGUGGUCCUUUACGAUAAAUUCAAGGUUAAACUCACAAAUCCAAAUAUGGAAAAAGGCUCAUCAAAUAUUAUCCUUUUCUUCCAGUCUGUAC